GGGGAUGACAGGUUUUGACAGCACGUAGAGGUGGUCUGUAAGCACGUAGUGCAUUGUUGUACUGGCACUUAAAUCUUAGGCUUCGACCAAUUUAACUGGCGAAAAUAAUUACGCUCUUGCAGCUUAAUCGAAUAAAGUAGAUUAAUGCUCUUUCGCUUGAGCCAUAUGGCUCGCGGCAAGACAUCACCCAGAUACCGGGAUCCCGAGGUGGUCUGAACUGGUGGUGUAGAUAUAUCGGGAAGGGUUAGUAACUGACCUCUUGUUGCUAACGACAGUCACAGAGGAUAAGCGUUUGGGACGGUAGCUUUGGCCCCACCCAUAUGCCGACAAUUAAAGCAAAGAUAAACGUGUAGAAAGCGGAUUAGUUCCGUGUUUGGACGAGGGUUCAAAUCCCUCCAUCUCCACUU
rnacentral:tmRNA from 1 species